rnacentral:misc_RNA from 1 species
GGACCGAUAAGGUAGAAAUGCCUUAUCGGUCC